CCGAAUUGUUGACACGAGUUGUUGCUGGUCCUCAAACGGGGGCAUGUGCACGCUCUGUUUUACACAUCCACUCACACCUGUGCACCCACUGUAGUUCUAUGGCCUGGGGGGCUCCGUCCUCUUGCUGCGGUUCUACAUCUUUACACACACACUGUAAUAAAGUCUUAUGGAAUGCAUGAUGCGUUUAACGCAAUACAAUA
rnacentral:misc_RNA from 1 species